AGUGAACGCUGGCGGUAGGCCUAACACAUGCAAGUCGAACGGCAGCACAGUAAGAGCUUGCCUUUACGGGUGGCGAGAGGCGGACGGGUGAGGAAUACAUCCGAAUCUACUUUUUCGUGGGGGUUAACGUAGGUAAACUUACGCUAAUAUCGCAUACGACCUACGGGUGAAAGCAUGGGAUCUUCGGACCGUGCGCGAAUGAAUGAGCCGGUGUUCGUUUAGCUAGUUAGCGGGGUAAAGGCCAACCUAGGCGACGAUCGGUAACUGGUCCGAGACGGUGAUCAGCCACAGUGAAACUGAAACGCGCUCCAGGAUCCCACGGGCGGCAGCAGUGCGUAAUCUUGGACGAUGGGCGAAAGCCUGAUCCAGCCAUCCCGCGUGGAUGAAGAAGGCCCUCGAGUUGGAAAGCCCUUUUGUGGUGAAAAAAAAGCAGCGGAUUAAUCCCAGGCUGUUCUGAGGUAACGCACAGAAUAAGCACCGGCGAACUUCGU
rnacentral:rRNA from 1 species